GUCUGAGCCUGGACACUUUGGAUUUGGAAAUAGAAGUUCUGGGUGGGAAUCGGUGCUUUGUCACUGGCCAUCAGAUUUUGGGCAAGUUAUCUAAACAUCUCUGAGCCGUAAUUUCUUUGUAAAAUGGGUUUAAUGGUACCUGCCUCACAGAGUAGUGGUUCAAUGGCAUGAUGAUGUUACUGUUACUAAUAAUGGUUGAAAUCUGCCUGGCAUUCUGCUAUGUGCUGUAUAUGGAUUAUCUCAUUAAAUCCUUCCUUAUGCCAACCCCGCGAGGACCAUGAACCAGUUGUGAUCUUCUCACUGACACUCCCAGUGAACUCAGAACAAACCAGCAAAUGGCUUUUCUCAGGGCCAAGGUGUAAGUAUGUGGGUGUGGCAUUGUUAUUACUCCAAUUUGAACCAGGACAAUCUAGUCCCAUGAGGGAAUCCAGUGACUAUAAAGAUUUUAUUUAUUUAUUCACGAGAGACAGAGGCAGAGGGAGAAGCAGGCUCCCCGCGGAGCAGAGAGCCUGAUGCGGGACUCAAUCCCAGGACCCUGGGAUCAUGACCUGAGCCGAAGGCAGACGCUUAACCGACUGAGCCACCCAGGUGUCCUGCAAACUCAAUUUUUCUAUUAUAUAUUUGACAAUAGCUCCAAAUUUAUUUGAUGAUGUAUUAGCAUUUUAAGUGUGCAACUGACCUGAGAGGAGGAGACAAUAAACAGGAACCUAGAGGAACUGUCCCUCAAAGAUGCAGAACUUUGAGAGAGAAUGCAGACUGCUCUUGCUGAGACAAAAGAUGAUGUAUUAGCAUUUUAAGUGUGCAACUGACCUGAGAGGAGGAGACAAUAAACAGGAACCUACAGGAACUGUCCCACAAAGAUGCAGAACUUUGAAAGAGAAUGAGGACUGCUCUUGCUGAGACAAAAGGUGAUUUUAUGUCAGCUGGGGCAGCUCUGCUUUAGGUUACAGGCUGGCUACGCUUGGAUCCAGGCUUUAGAUUAUGUUCAGGUCUGCUGCACAGAUCUUGUUUUGGGAUUGAUGGGUCAGCUGCUUCCUGGGGCAUGCUUUCCUCAUUGUGAUACAGGAAGACAAAUUCAAUUUGAAGGACAUUCUACAAAAUACCUCACCAGGAGUUCUCAAACUGCCACAGUUAUCAAAUAUAAGGAAAGUCUAAGAAACUCACAGCCAAGAAGGACCUAAAGAGACAUGAUGACUGAAUGUAGUGUGGUAUCCUUGAUGGGAUCCUUGAACACUUGGACAUUAGGUAAAAAAAUAAGGUAAUCUGAAUAAAGUAUGAGCUUUAGUUAGUAAUAACAUGUCAAUGUUGGUGAAUUAGUUAUGACAAAUGUACUAUAGUUGUGUUAACAAUGGGGGAAAUUGAGUGCAGUGUGCACACAUUCAGUCUUACCUAAAGUGGAUAUUCCCCGCUCGGUUACUUCUUAUUCCUUCACCAUGGUUACUGCCUUCAUAGCAACUACUGUAGUCUAUCAUGAUCUUUUUUUAUUUGUUUACUGCCUGCCCCUCCCAUUAGAUUGUAACCUUCACAAGGGCAAAGAUCUUCUCUGUUCAGUCUGUUGCGUUCCCACUAUGUUGGAGGUUGCUAUACAUAGUAGAUGAUUAAUAAAUAGCUGUUAAAUGAAUGAAGGAAGGAAUUAUUGAUAGUUGUUACCAAGACUUGAAGGAUCAUUGCAACUGGAGCAGAACUAACUCAUUACUUUAUGUUAUAAAUAAGCCAUACUUCAUGCAUUCUCUAAAGAGAGGUAAUAGGGAAAGUAUCUUGAUCUAGGCUCCAUUUCUCUCUCCCUCUCUACCUCUUGUCUCCUUUCUUUCUUUCUUUCUUUCUUUCUUUCUUUCUUUCUUUCUUUCUUUCUUUCUUUCUUUCUUUCUUUCUUUCUUUCUUUCUUCUUUCCUUUCUUUCUUCCCUACUUCCUUCCCUCCCUCCCUUUCUCUCUUUCCUUCCUUCCUUCUUUCUAUAAUAAAAAGAAUAAUUUCGCCAAGCAUCCUGUGAAGGGUAGCCUGGAGUUUCUUCUUGGAAGGUGUGUAAAUAAGGGUGCUAACAUGCAUUUGUUGUUCAUGCUGGGAAGUUCCUCACUUCUCUUCAUUUCUUAAUUGAGUCAACUGGAAGAAAUACAUAUUAUCAUGGAUGUAUACCAUAAGAGACUCAGACUUUUGCUAUUGAGAUGUUGUCACUGAAGCAGAAACACCUAGGUACUAUGGGUAAAGAAAGUCUCUGUGCACAGCUGGGGGCCUCCCCACCUCCUGGGAUCACUGAAAGCAAGGGUAUGACACAGAGGCUGGGAAUCCUGAAAGUCACAAAAGAAUAGUUGGAUGAUACACCCUGGGCGUAGUGUGUCAUCCUACAUGUUUCAUGAAGAGCAGUGGUGGACAACUAAGAAGGAUGGUACUUUAUAUGGUCUGUGUUAGUCUUUGAAGUAUUUCUGUACUUUGAUUGGUGUGUUCAAUUUCUUCCAUUAGGUUAUUUAACCUGUAGUUUUCCAGAUGAUUUUUUUGACUGCCACCUAUUCACUGUGGCAAGUUUUGUGAGAUAUUCUAAGACAUAUUAGGUGUGGUCUCUGCCAUCAAUGAGGUCAGCAUCUGACUUGGGAGAUAAAACACAAGGGCAUGAAAUGUGAGUAAGGUCCAAUGCGAGACUAUCCCUUGAAAGGGAUGUUAUCGUAGAGGAGGGAGGGACAAGAAAAGUCACACAAUGCUUCACGUGGAGGCAAAAACUGAGCUGGCCCUGAAUGCAUGGCUGUAAAUUAAGGAUUCAUAAAUUAAUUCAAUAUUUUUGAGAUCUCUAGGCAUCAAGCUAAUGGAGAUAGUUUCUUCCUCCAAAGAGGUCACAGUGUACUUGAGGGAGAUAAAUAAGGGCACUACAAGUGUUACAGGUGCUGUGAUGGAGUUAUACACAAGGUACAGAGGGAACACGGGGGAUGGUGUGGUCACUUGUCCUCGUGUGGGGGUGGGGAGGGUGGUCAGGAAAGACUAUUUAGAUGAAGUGUCACUGAGCUGAACAGCUCAAUAAAAUACAGUUCGUAUAUGUUACCACAGUUACAAUUCUUUUUCUUGUGAUGAGAACUUUUAAGAUCUCCUCCCUUAGCGACUAUCAAAUGUACAAUACAGUAUUGUUAACUAUAGUCACCAUGUGGUACAUUGCAUCACCAGGACUUAUUAUUUCAGAACCGGAAGUUUGUACCUUUUGACCCACUUCACCCUUUUUGGCCAACCCUUCAUCCGCUACCUCUGGCAACCAUGAAUACAUUCUCUGUAUCUAUGAGUUUGGGCUUUUGUUUUUAAAAAUAUGGAAUGCUUCAUGAAUUUGCAUGUCAUCCUUGUGCAGGCACCAUGCUAAUCUCUGUAUCGUUCCAGUCUUAGUAAACUGUGCUGUGAAGCAAACACUCAUUUCUUUUUUUUUUUUUUUAAAGAUUUUAUUUAUUUAUUUAAGACAGAGAGAAUGAGAGACAGCAUGAGAGGGAGGAGGGUCAGAGGGAGAAGCAGACUCCCUGCCGAGCAGGGAGCCCGAUGCGGGACUCGAUCCUGGGACUCCAGGAUCAUGACCUGAGCCGAAGGCAGUCGCUUAACCAACUGAGCCACCCAGGCGCCCCUCAUUUCUUUUCAAAUAAUGAGAAAGUCAUAUGGCAACAUCUGACUUUAAAAAGACCUCAGAAUGAAACCACCUUUGGGAGGGUGUGUUUCCCAAGUCAGAGACCCAAAGAACCCCAGCCCUCGGACUUUCUGUCCUACUUGGGAGAAGACAAGGAUAACUGCUAUCCCAUUUUGUCAUGCCCACGUUGUUCAUUUUCACUUGCUGAUUGAGAAGCAGCUAAAAUCUAUUACUGUGGGGUAAAAGCACCACAGAAACCUGUCCAAGGUGAGGACAAAUGGCCCGAGAAUUGAAUAGAACUCAGGAGAAUUAAUGAAUCAAAGUCAGUGCUCUUAGAUAUCUUAGAUACUAAUAAGCUUAAUCCUCUUAUUUUCUAGAUACUGGGACAGAGGCUUGAAGGAUGAUAGUGACUUUCCCAGCUUACGGCUUCUAGAAACCAUGUCUCCAUGUCUCUGAAUCUCAACCCCAUGAUGCUUCUUCCAGAGAACUAUGGUAGAUGCUCUGAUGCCCGUUGCAAUAACCCAUAACUCCUCUCAUCUUUCACACCCCCCACAGGUUUCUCAGACAUCCUGCUUUCCUCUGUCAGCCCUAUCUCCAUGUCCUCACCUGAUUUGUUUUUCUAGUGUCUUCUGACUCAUUUUUUUUUAAAGAUUUUAUUUGAGAGAGAGAAAGAGAGAGAGAGCACAAGCAAGGAGAGCAGCAGAGGGAGAGGGAGAAGCAGGGCUCCCGCGGAGCAGGGAGCCUGAUGUGGGGCUCGAUCCCAGGACCCUGGGAUCAUGACCUGAGCCGAAGGCAGACGCUUAACCAAUUGAACCACCCAAGUGCCCCUCACCUUUUCUUCAUUAUCCUCUUUCCUCUGCUUCUAAACACUGCAAUACUGUAAAAGGAUGAAAGAAACCUGAGAGUCUGUUUGGGAUUUUCUUCUGGGUGUAAUUGCAGAGUAUGCCUGUCCCUUUGGCUCUUUAUUAUUAUUAUUUUUAAGAUUUUAUUUAUUUAUUUGUCAGAGAGAGAGCGCGUGCACAAACAGGGGAAGGGGCAGGCAGAGCAGGCAGAGGGAGAAGCAGGCUCCCCGCUGAGCAGGGAGCCCUAUGCAGGACUCCAUCCCAGGACCCUGGGAUCAUGACCUGAGACACUUAACAGACUGAGCCACCCAGGCAUCCCUGGCUCUUUACUUUUGGAAUGAAAAGGAACAGCAUCAAUAACAUCCCCUCUGCAGCAAGUGAGAGUUACAAAUUCUCAAAAUUUUUCUAUGAAUGAUGGCAGUUUAAAAAUACCCUUGUGGGUGCCUGGGUGGUUCAGUUGGUUAAGUGCCUUCGGCUCAGGUCAUGGUACCAGGGUCCUGGGAUCGAGUCCCACAUCAGGCUCCCGGCUCAGCAGGAAGCCUGCUUCUCCCUUUCCCACUCCCCCUGCUUGUGUUCCCUCUCUCGCUGUGUCUCUCUCUCUCUAAUAAAGAAAUAAAAUCUUUAAAAAAAUACCCUUGCUAAAAUUGGGUUAAAUAUAGCAAAUUAUAUGAUAUUCUUUUAAUAUGCAGUAAUAAUAGUUACCCACUUCCUUCAGAUGGAUAUUUUAUAGUUCCCAUUUGUAUUUUUUUAUUAUCUGUAAGUCUUAGGGAACAUAGGACUUACCGAUAUAGAAUCAAAUAAAGCAUUAAAAAAUUAGUAAUAGCAAUAAAUGUUUCAAAAAAGUUUUUAAUAAGAAUGGACAUUUAUCAGUAGCAUUAAAAAAAACCCUGAAAACCAGAAAAAAAUUAUCUCCAAAGCUAGUCCUGUUCAAUUCCACAAAUAUUUAUGGAGUACCACCACUGCUAAACGAGCAGUGAAGGAUAAAAAUGGUAGAAAAAGGGUAGAACACAAUCCUUUCGUAUAAAGAACAUACAAUUUUUUUUUUUAAAGAUUUUAUUUAUUUAUUUGAGAGAGAGCCCAUGAGAGGGGGGAGGGUCAGAGGGAGAAGCAGGCUCCCCGCCGAGCAGGGAGCCCGAUGCGGGACUCGAUCCCGGGACUCCAGGAUCAUGACCUGAGCCGAAGGCAGUCGCUUAACCGACUGAGCCACCCAGGCGCCCCAAGAACAUACAAUUUUUAUGAGCGGCAAGGCACUCUCCCUAGGUGUAAUUUAUCUCUUCAUAGUAAAUCAGCUGAGUCUAAUAAAUGCUAGCCACUGCACUAGGUGCUGGAAAUUCAAGAAUAAAUGGCAUAUUCUCCAUUCCCAAGAUACUCACAACUAUUGAAUGUUUCUUUUCCCAUUCAGAUGAAGAUAUAAACGAAAUGUAUAAACUACCAGUGGGUUUCAAAACAAUAAGCCAUCUCAAUGCGAAUCCCUAGUAAAAUUCUGGAAACGCGUGAUUAAAUAAAUAAUUCGUAGGCAUUUUGAAAAGCCUGGUGAUUACUAAGAAGAGCCUGUAUGAAGUGACCCAAGAUAAAUCGUGCCAAAUACACUUUCCUUUUAAAAUAAGGCUUUUCAUAACAUAAUAAAAUAAUUUUAAAAUUUUAAAAACUUUAAAAAAGUAAAAUUUAUUUGAGAAACAAAAAAAAAAUAAGGCUUUUCAAUGGUUAGAUUUAUAUCCGUACUGUAAUGUAUUUUGAUUGUAUGAAAAGAUUUGAUAGGCUUUCCAUGAUAUUCUUCUUGGAGAGAUGGUUUAUUACAGAUUGGAUGGUGAAUUGGUUAUUAUUAUUUUUUUAAGACUUUAUUUAUUUUUAUUUUGAGAGAGAGAGAGAGAGAGAGAGAAACAGCAUGAGAGGGGAUAGGGUCAGAGGGAGAAGCAGGCUCCCCGCCGAGCCAGGAGCCCGACGCAGGACUCGAUCCCAGGACUCCGGGAUCAUGACCUGAGCCGAAGGCAGUUGCUCAACCAACUGAGCCACCCAGGUGCCCCAAGAAUUGGUUAUUUUUUGAUGCAAAAUAUACCAGUUCAAACUUAAUGACUUACAAUAUCAAUCAUUUUCUUGGCCCAUGUUUCUGUGGGUCAACAUUUUAGGCUCGUUCGGCUGGGUAGUUCUUCUGCCGGAAUCACUAAUGUGACUGCAAUCAUCUGGAGGAUGGACUGGGGUUGGUCUAGGGAACCUUCUUGAUGGCCUAUCUCUAGGUGUUAUCCUAGCCCCAACAUCUUCAUGUGACAGUCACAGGGCAGCAAGAGAGGACAGACGCCAAAGGUGGAUUCCAGUGAGGAAUUGGCCCUGCCUACAGUGAAGAAAAGGAUGAAUGAAUGGACGCAUAGAGACCCAAUAGCAGUUGAUACAAUGGAUGCUGUCCUGUUACCUGUUUUAAGAGCCUACAUCCUUGGCGGUACACAGGCCCAAUGGAUUGAUGCAUUCAAAUGUCUUAUGACCUUUCUCUUUGCCUGCUCAAGUCCCACUGCCUUAAUAAAGUCUGUCCGGCCACUCUUCUGACAGCGAUCCUUCUCUUUUCAUUAAAUCACACUUCUUUUUAUGUA